AUUGAACGCUGGCGGCAUGCUUUACACAUGCAAGUCGAACGGGGUGAAGGGGCAACUCUUCAUUCAGUGGCGAACGGGUGAGUAAUGCAUCGGAACGUAUCCCGUAGUGGGGGAUAACCCAACGCGAAAGCUGGGCUAAUACCGCAUAUGCUCUACGGAGGAAAGGUAGGGGGACCGUGCAAGGGCCUCACGCUAUGGGAGCGGCCGAUGUCCGAUUAGCUAGUUGGUGGGGUAAUGGCCCACCAAGGCGACGAUCGGUAGCUGGUCUGAGAGGAUGAUCAGCCACACUGGGACUGAGACACGGCCCAGACUCCUACGGGAGGCAGCAGUGGGGAAUUUUGGACAAUGGGGGCAACCCUGAUCCAGCCAUGCCGCGUGCGGGAAGAAGG
rnacentral:rRNA from 1 species